rnacentral:rRNA from 1 species
AGCAGUGGGGAAUUUUGGACAAUGGGCGCAAGCCUGAUCCAGCAAUGCCGCGUGAGUGAAGAAGGCCUUCGGGUUGUAAAGCUCUUUUGUCAGGGAAGAAACGGUGAGGGCUAAUAUCCUUUGCUAAUGACGGUACCUGAAGAAUAAGCACCGGCUAACUACGUGCCAGCAGCCGCGGUAAUACGUAGGGUGCAAGCGUUAAUCGGAAUUACUGGGCGUAAAGCGUGCGCAGGCGGUUGUGCAAGACCGAUGUGAAAUCCCCGGGCUUAACCUGGGAAUGGCAUUGGUGACUGCACGGCUAGAGUGUGUCAGAGGGGGGUAGAAUUCCACGUGUAGCAGUGAAAUGCGUAGAGAUGUGGAGGAAUACCGAUGGCGAAAGCAGCCCCCUGGGAUAACACUGACGCUCAUG